UUUGUAAACAAAAGCUAUUUCCAUAUUUUAGGUGCYUUCGAAAGAAUUGCUGGCAUUAAUGCCGAUAUAAUCGAAGAUGUGGGAUGUACCUAAGAAUGUCUCAACUUAUUACUACUGAUGGGCUUUUGCAUUACUAAAGAGGGAUGCAGGUGUGACAUGUUAAGAAUUACAUUACUUGCAAUGACAGGACAUAUCAARCAGGGCGACUAGGAAAUGUCAAAAGGAAGGCUCCAUGAAACAAUGAAACAUCUCUUGUACACUUGUAUCGCAUUAUCAAAACAACGGUUUAAUCAUUUGGAGGCACAAAGGUAUCAGCCUCUGACAGAUGUAGCGUUGGUGAGGUCACAGAAUCUGUUAAAACUCACUUGAGGUGCUSGUAUUCUCAAUGAUGACUACUCAUCAUGGACUACGCUACUGCAACCCAUUCCUAUAAUCAGAGGUCCUUUUAAUUGGAUUGCUGAUGAGAGGAGGGCRUACAUUUGGAACACUAACACUAACCACUAAAACAAUUAAUUUUGUAGCGUCUUUGAAAUUUUUUUUWGAAAAAAAUAUACAGAUGUACACAA